CGACGAAAAUCGGGAUCGAAUCCCACUACGGUAACAUACGAGGGUAUCCAAACAACACAUACUAUCCAAAUAAAAAAAUAUGGAGUUCCGGUUUAGACCAUGGGCGUGCGACGACCCCGAUGAAAUUCGGGAUAUCACGGUCUUCGUUAAUGUUAAUAAGCGUCCGUCAGAUCAGUUGGCGAAACGCAAUAUCCGCACAAUAAGAUGUCUGCGACCCGAAAGAAUAUUCAAAAAUAUGGACGGCACUCCAGUACAGCAUGUGCAUGGUUGGACCUGUUGACAUUUUUAGAAACGCAUCUUGGUCUAUUAUACAGAGUAUUGUUGUACUGCUCCAAAGUGCUUGUUGACAGACUGAAACCACUUGCUUGCAGCUCAUAAGGUUUACUUCUUGAGAGCAGGCAGCUACAAAAUGGAAGGUCAACAAAUCCAGUAUACUUGAAAAGCAAGAAAGAAACACCAGAAAAUAUGAAAAGACAGAAAUACAAGGGAACUUGAAUAAAAAAAAACUUUUAAGGAUAGGAAUUCAGGAUUUACUUGGAAACUAAAUUUUUUUUGAGAGCAGCAGUGAUUGACUAAGCUCUGUUACUUUAAGAGAUAAUGUAUUAUCACAUUGGUGUUGUUAUUGUCGAGCCAGCUUGUGGAAGCGAAGACAUAGUUGUCCAAAUGUCUGUUCGGUGUAUGUGCGUGCGUGCGUGCGUCAGGAUUUGUUUGUCCAGACCAUAUCUUGGACAUGCAUGGAGCAAUCUUGUUUAUAUUUGGUAUGAAUGUUAACCUCAGUGAGACGGAGUGUCAUGCACAAACCCCAGGUUGCUAUCUCAAAGGCCAAGGUCACACUUACAGGUCAAAGGUCAAAUUCAAAAAUGACUGUCUGGAGCAUUUCUUCUUCAUGCAUGGAGGGAUUUUGAUGUAACUUGGCACAAUUGUUCACCAUCAUGAGAUGGAGUGUGAUGCGCAAGAACCAGGUCCCUAGGUCUAAGGUCAAGGUCACACUUAGAGGUCAAAGGAUACAAGAAUGACAACUUUGUCCGUAGUAUUUCUUCUUCAUGCAUGGAGGGAUUUUGAUGUAACUUGGCACAAAUGUUCACCACCAUGAGACGGAGUGUCAUGCAGAAGAACCAGUUCCCUAGGUCUAAGAUCAAGGCCACACUUAGAGGUCAAAAGUCAGAUACAAGAAUGACUUUGUCUGGAGCAUUUCUUUUUGAUGCAUAGAGGGAUUUUGAUGUAACUUGGCACAAUUGUUCAUCAUCAUGCGACAGAGGGUCAUGCAUAAGAUCCUAGAAUUACUUCCCUUUGUUGUUACUAUAAAUAGCUUACAUUUGUAACUUUUUUAUUACUGGUCAUAGGGAAAAAUCAAUACCACUUUUCUGUAGUACAACAUGCAUGUUACAUCCAAUUUUCAGGUGUAUUUUGACCUAUCUCUGGUGGUGCGGAUUUUUGUGUGGACUUAGAAUUUUUUUAUAUAUAUAUUUUUUUUUUAAUUUUUUUUUUUUUAAAUUUACGUUCCUUUGUUGUUACUGUAAAUAAUUUAUAUUGUAACUUUUUGCAAUCUCUUUUAUUUGGCAUAAAUGUUUGCCUCAAUGAGACAAGGAGUGUCAUGUACAAUUCCCAGUCCUUUUGACAGCUGACGGGCUCGACAAAUUGCCCAUGGGCAUCUAGUUCUCAUAAAACAUACUAAAGUUUCAUUAAUCUUAUUUUAGAUAAUUGUUUUCUGGUUUAUUUUGUAAAGAAUGUCUACUACAUUGUAAUUAACAUAGUUACAGUAAAGUAAUAUUUUUCAUGA